rnacentral:rRNA from 1 species
CCUANGGGUGGCAGCAGUGGGGAAUUUUGGACAAUGGGGGCAACCCUGAUCCAGCCAUGUCGCGUGAGUGAAGAAGGCCUUCGGGUUGUAAAGCUCUUUCGUCCGGAACGAAACGGUGGAUGCUAACACCAUCCAUUACUGACGGUACCGGAACAAGAAGCACCGGCUAACUACGUGCCAGCAGCCGCGGUAAUACGUAGGGUGCGAGCGUUAAUCGGAAUUACUGGGCGUAAAGCGUGCGCAGGCGGUUCGCCAAGUCAGGUGUGAAAUCCCCGGGCUUAACCUGGGAAUUGCGCUUGAAACUAGCGGGCUUGAGUGUGGCAGAGGGGGGUGGAAUUCCACGUGUAGCAGUGAAAUGCGUAGAGAUGUGGAGGAACACCGAUGGCGAAGGCAGCCCCCUGGGUCAACACUGACGCUCAUGCACGAAAGCGUGGGGAGCAAACAGGAUUAGAUACCCGGNUANUC